CAGGUGGGUGAUCUGCCCUGCACUUCGGGAUAAGCCUGGGAAACUGGGUCUAAUACCGGAUAUGACCUCCUAUCGCAUGGUGGGUGGUGGAAAGAUUUAUCGGUGCAGGAUGGGCCCGCGGCCUAUCAGCUUGUUGGUGGGGUAAUGGCCUACCAAGGCGACGACGGGUAGCCGACCUGAGAGGGUGACCGGCCACACUGGGACUGAGACACGGCCCAGACUCCUACGGGAGGCAGCAGUGGGGAAUAUUGCACAAUGGGCGAAAGCCUGAUGCAGCGACGCCGCGUGAGGGAUGACGGCCUUCGGGUUGUCAACCUCUUUCAGCAGGGACGAAGCGCAAGUGACGGUACCUGCAGAAGAAGCACCGGCUAACUACGUG
rnacentral:rRNA from 1 species